rnacentral:tRNA from 1 species
UCCCUUGUGGCUCAGCUGGUAAAGAAUCUGCCUGCAAUGCAGAAGACCUGGGUUCAAUCCCUGUGUUGGGA